rnacentral:rRNA from 1 species
AUGACUAGGGAUAACCUUAGGAAGAGACAUAUUAUCAAACCUCUUGACUGCGUUUACUGCAUUGAGGCAGAAACAAACGCACACUUGUUCUUUGAAUGUGUAGUAGCUAAACAGGUCUCUGCCUUUUUCGAGACAAAUGUGGGACUUGAUUAUGAAUCGAUUGCUAAAAUUUGGGUAGCUAAUAGCAAGCACUCUGCGCUUAAUACAGUUAAUGCAGCUGUUCUUUGGUGUCUUUGGAAAUAUAGGAACUCUAUUAUUUCCAAUAACACUUUGUGGACCUCGAUUAAACAGGUGCUGAGGCUAAUCCUCAACACAAUUAAAAACUGGACAAUCUUGUCCUCAGGAAAGACUGCAGAGAGGCUGGAGGCCUUCUCAGGGCAUCUUGCAAGCUUUCUGCGCUGCCCCUUGUUGAUCAGUGGCUGA